UUCAUUUAAGCAGAUGUAAUAAGACAAUUAAAAUUUUUCACAAGCUUGUGACCAAAUAACUUCAUAAAAUUAAAUCAAUUUACAGCACAACUUUCACAAACUAGACUCCUGCUGCUGCUCAUUUUAGAUUUCAAGUGUCUACACAUAAAAAAGAAAAAAAAAUGACAUUAGAAAACACAAUGCAACCAUAAAAUAAAUAACAAUAUUUAGAAUUUCAAAUGCAUGAUCCAAAUUCUUAGCUAGGAUCAAAUAAAUUUGAUUUUCAAUAGAAAAAUUCAGACUUUUAAUCUAAAAUAAACACAAAAAUAUAUUUUCAUUAACAUAUAUUUUUUAAGGGAUUUAUUAACAGCAAUAUUCAAAAUAUAAAAAUUACUCUCUACUUACAUAAUUAUUCGAUGCAACUUUUAUGUCUACUUUCAUUUAACGACCAAGUGAUCUUUGGAAUAAAGAGAAAGAUAACAAUACAUCAACAAUUAUCAAGAUCAAAUGGUCUUUUAUUCUUAAAUUUGUUGGCAUUUAUUUGCAAAUAAAAUUAUAAUGUCCUAUUAAUUUAUCCGAUGUACUUCAAAAUUAAUGAAAUAAAAAUUCCCAAUACACAAAUGACAGCAUCUAUCACUAAAGCAAUUUGUGACAAUAGUGAACUGACAUGAGGGCCACUAAAAAGUUAGNNNNNNNNNNNNNNNNNNNNNNNNNNNNNNNNNNNNNNNNNNNNNNNNNNNNNNNNNNNNNNNNNNNNNNNNNNNNNNNNNNNNNNNNNNNNNNNNNNNNUAGAAGGAAACGAGCCUAAAACCACUUCUGCUAAGAAUUCUUUUUACAAGUUUGCGAGAAAAUAGCUCUUUACGAAUUUUUAACAUCAAUAGAACUAAUACAAAAUUAAAUCAAUUUAUAGCUUCCAAAAGUUAAACUUCAGAUGCGACUAAUUUGAGAUUUAGAUUUCAUGGAUCUCUGCAUACAAGGGGAAAAAACAAAUGAUAUUAGAAAAAAAGGCCCCAAAAAAAUAUAUAUUCAAAUUUCAAAUGCAUGAUCUAAAUUCUUAGGCAGAAUUAGAUAUAUAUUGUUUCCAAAUGUUAUUUUUACUACAUAACAGCUGCUAAGCAGCGCCUGAAAACUUUGAGGUGCUGUGUUUCUGCAAAAAAAGCAGUAAAAACAGCACCUGCAUAACAGAAAUCAACCCAUUGAUAAAAGUUUUUGCUCCACUUAAUUCAGCAUCAAAAACUUAUAUAAUUGAAUCAAUCUUAUGCGAACUUCAUCAAACAUCAUAUGUGCAUGAACACAUUAUUCCAAUUCCAAACAUAAUCCAACUCUAAAUCCAUGAGAUCAAUAUUUUUUCUUAAAAUUAAUCUUAUAAUAAAAAUAUUUUAUUGAUUUAGUGAAAAAAAAUAAACAGAACAUGCUUACCGUAGAGAGCUGCAAGCCUGCUAUGCUGACAUAAAGCCAGAAGGAAACAAAGACGGUCAUUGUGCUUUUCAUUUGUCUACUCUGCAAACUAGCCCCGUUACAAAAGUGCCAAAAAGAGAAGAAAAGAAAGUUUAAUUACAAUAGAAUUGUAAUGAAACGUGUUUAUAAUAAUAGAAGUGUCAAGUUUUACAGCAUUUGUAGGCCAUAACAGCUUUAAUAGUUAAAAAUAAAAAGCAAGUAGUUCUUAAAACAUAACAUGCAGAGAUCUUGUCAUAACAUCAAAAUUCCCAAGAAAAAGAAAAUGUACCAAUCAGACGUCCCCAAUAUUUUUUACUACUUCUCCAUUCUUGUCACUUUUCAUGUAAUAAUCACCAUUCUCCUAGUAAAUGUCCAAGAUAAACUAUAAUUCUAAAUUUGAAAAUCGCUAAGAAGUAGGAAAAAGGGAAUUAAUUCGAAAGUGCUACCUCAGGAAUAUGCACCAACAAUCUCUAAUAAUCAGUUGAGCAAGAUCAAGUAGCUUAAAAUGAUGUGGUGAAUUUGGCUAUGAUAAAGGGGGGAAAAAUGCUGAAAUUCAAAGAUUUCUCGAAUUUGGAACUGCAUAAUACCCAAAUUCUUGUUCCAAAAAAAAAAAGUGCAAGAAAUGAAGAGCAUCCAAAAGAACCAACCAAACCACUUGCUUCGCCGGCACCCCUCCAAAAUACGUGGACAUUUUGCAAUAAACUAAAGGAAAAAGACCCCCAAAAACUUUCAAUGCCAGUGAAGAUUAUAAGUCCUUUAUAUAUUGCAAAAUUGGAGACUUCUAAGUAAAAAAAAUCACAAAGAAUCACAUGAAGCUUUUGUCUCAAAUCACAAAGAAUCACAUGAAGCUUUUGUCUCAAUACAAUAUGUAAAAGAUCAAAGCAAAAAGACAUGCAACUCCAUUGAAAGGCUUAUUUAUUUUUUAAUAACAAAACUAAAGAAUCCAUUAAAAUUGAUCUUAAAAAUCAGCAGCUAAUUGGUGCCAAUAAAAACGAAGCAGCAAUAAUCUAAUAUCUAGUCACGUAAUUAUAUAUAUUGACAGUAAGAAGAAAAAUAUCAUCACUCACUACCGAAACAGUACUUCAAAACCUAACUCAAAAUCAUAAAAUUAACCAAAAAAAAUUAAAUUUCUAAACAUGCAAGCAACCUAAAAUAUCCAACAAUAGCUAUAAAAUAUAAAAAAAUGCCAAAACAUAAGGUAAUAAAUUAAAAAUCAAAAUUAAAGCGAAACUUUAGCACAAUACGGUAGUGUGCAUAAAUAUACAGUGAAAUUUGCAGAGUGCUAAAGUUGUUAGCCAACCAGAUUAGAACAAAGUGGCAACAACAGCGACAACAAAAAAAGAAGAAGCAGCAGCUCACAUUUAUGCCAAAAGAUCCGAGUGCUAAAGUUGUUAGCCAACCAGAUUAGAACAAAGUGGCAACAACAGCGACAACAAAAAAAAAAGAAGCAGCAGCUCACAUUUAUGCCAAAAGAUCCGAGUGCUAAAGUUGUUAGCCAACCAGAUCAGAAGGAAGUGGCAGUGACAGCGGCAGCCAAGAAAGAAGGGAGCGGCAGCAGCAAAGGUUUUGUGCAGCGGCAGCGAAAAAAUUG
rnacentral:lncRNA from 1 species